GGCGCUAUAGUGUAGUGGUUAUCACUUGGGAUUCUGACCCGCUCGGUGUUCCCAAAACCCAGGUUCGAGCCCUGGUAGCGCCU